rnacentral:rRNA from 1 species
AGAGUUUGAUCCUGGCUCAGGAUGAACGCUGGCGGCGUGCUUAACACAUGCAAGUCGAGCGAAGCACUUUUGCGGAUUUCUUCGGAUUGAAGCAACUGUGACUGAGCGGCGGACGGGUGAGUAACGCGUGGGUAACCUGCCUCAUACAGGGGGAUAACAGUUGGAAACGGCUGCUAAUACCGCAUAAGCGCACAGUACCGCAUGGUACGGUGUGAAAAACUCCGGUGGUAUGAGAUGGACCCGCGUCUGAUUAGGUAGUUGGUGGGGUAACGGCCUACCAAGCCGACGAUCAGUAGCCGACCUGAGAGGGUGACCGGCCACAUUGGGACUGAGACACGGCCCAAACUCCUACGGGAGGCAGCAGUGGGGAAUAUUGCACAAUGGGGGAAACCCUGAUGCAGCGACGCCGCGUGAGCGAUGAAGUAUUUCGGUAUGUAAAGCUCUAUCAGCAGGGAAGAAAAUGACGGUACCUGACUAAGAAGCCCCGGCUAACUACGUGCCAGCAGCCGCGGUAAUACGUAGGGGGCAAGCGUUAUCCGGAUUUACUGGGUGUAAAGGGAGCGUAGACGGCAUGGCAAGCCAGAUGUGAAAGCCCGGGGCUCAACCCCGGGACUGCAUUUGGAACUGUCAGGCUAGAGUGUCGGAGAGGAAAGCGGAAUUCCUAGUGUAGCGGUGAAAUGCGUAGAUAUUAGGAGGAACACCAGUGGCGAAGGCGGCUUUCUGGACGAUGAC